GCGGGCUUGGUGUAGCAGUAGCACAGAACUCUUCCAAGGUCCUAGCACGGGUGCGAUUCCCGUAGCCCGCU
rnacentral:tRNA from 1 species